rnacentral:rRNA from 1 species
GACGAACGCUGGCGGCGUGCUUAACACAUGCAAGUCGAACGGAAAGGCCCUGCUUUUGUGGGGUGCUCGAGUGGCGAACGGGUGAGUAACACGUGAGUAACCUGCCCUUGACUUUGGGAUAACUUCAGGAAACUGGGGCUAAUACCGGAUAGGAGCUCCUGCUGCAUGGUGGGGGUUGGAAAGUUUCGGCGGUUGGGGAUGGACUCACGGCUUAUCAGCUUGUUGGUGGGGUAGUGGCUUACCAAGGCUUUGACGGGUAGCCGGCCUGAGAGGGUGACCGGCCACAUUGGGACUGAGAUACGGCCCAGACUCCUACGGGAGGCAGCAGUGUGGAAUAUUGCACAAUGGGCGGAAGCCUGAUGCAGCAACGCCGCGUGCGGGAUGACGGCCUUCGGGUUGUAAACCGCUUUCGCCUGUGACGAAGCGUGAGUGACGGUAAUGGGUAAAGAAGCACCGGCUAACUACGUG